UCUCCAUUUUAUCAGAGAAAAAAUCUGUUGUGAAACAUUUUGAGGGAAUAUCAUUUGAAGAAUUGCAGAUAUUUUUUAACAUUGCACCAUUUUUGUGCAUG